rnacentral:rRNA from 1 species
AUUGAACGCUGGCGGCAGGCUUAACACAUGCAAGUCGAGCGGGGGAGGUUGCUUCGGUAACUGACCUAGCGGCGGACGGGUGAGUAAUGCUUAGGAAUCUGCCUAUUAGUGGGGGACAACAUUCCGAAAGGUAUGCUAAUACCGCAUACGCCCUACGGGGGAAAGCAGGGGAUCUUCGGACCUUGCGCUAAUAGAUGAGCCUAAGUCGGAUUAGCCAGUUGGUGGGGUAAAGGCCUACCAAGGCGACGACCUGUAGCGGGUCUGAGAGGAUGAUCCGCCACACUGGGACUGAGACACGGCCCAGACUCCUACGGGAGGCAGCAGUGGGGAAUAUUGGACAAUGGGCGGAAGCCUGAUCCAGCCAUGCCGCGUGUGUGAAGAAGGCCUUUUGGUUGUAAAGCACCUUAAGCGAGGAGGAGGCUCUUAAGGUUAAUACCCUUGAUGAGUGGACGUUACUCGCAGAAUAAGCACCGGCUAACUCUGUGCCAGCAGCCGCCGUAAGAC